AAUCCAUGCAUCAGACAUUUCUGAAGUAAUUCUUUGAAUCGUUCUCAUGCUUCAUAUAGAGUUUCAUCCUCCGAUUGCUGAAAAGAUGUGAUGACAUUUCUAAACUU
rfam:Gossypium raimondii chromosome 1, whole genome shotgun sequence.